rnacentral:rRNA from 1 species
GACGAACGCUGGCGGCGUGGAUUAGGCAUGCAAGUCGAACGGUAUCAUCCUUUCGGGGGUGAGAGAGUGGCGAACUGGUGAGUAACACGUAGGUUAUCUACCCUCAAGACGGGGACAACCCAGGGAAACUUGGGCUAAUACCGGAUGUGAGCAACUUUUAGUUGUUUGAAAGGUGGCGUAAGCUGUCGCUUGGGGAUGAGCCUGCGUCCUAUUAGUUAGUUGGUGAGGUAACGGCUCACCUAGGCAAUGAUAGGUAGGCGGCCUUAACGGGUGGUCGCCCACACUGGGGAUUGAGAUACGGCCCAGACUCCUACGGGAGGCAGCAGUCGAGAAUAGUCUACAAUGGUCGGAAGACUGAUAGUGCGACGCCGCGUGAACGAUGAAUCCCUUCGGGGUUAAAGUUCUUUUAUAUGUGAGCAGUGCUUCUUAUAUUAACAGUAUGGGGAGAGAGAUAUUAGCAUAUGAAUAAGCAACGGCUAACUCCGUGCCAGCAGCCCGGGUAAUCU